UACGUAGGGGGCAAGCGUUGUCCGGAUUUAUUGGGCGUAAAGAGCGUGUAGGCGGUUUGGUAGGUCCGCUGUGAAAACUCGAGGCUCAACCUCGAGACGCCGGUGGAAACCAUCAGACUAGAGUCCGGAAGAGGAGAGUGGAACUCCUGGUGUAGCGGUGAAAUGCGCAGAUAUCAGGAAGAACACCCGUGGCUAAGGCGGCUCUCUAGUACGGUACUGACGCUGAGACGCGAAAGCGUGGGGAGCGAACAGG
rnacentral:rRNA from 1 species